rnacentral:sRNA from 1 species
GUAUAGUUAUUCCCAAGUCGUUUAUCGUUAUUCUCCAGUUUACAGAACUGGAUUUGGAUUAAAAAUGGUUGAGUUAUUCGCAGUUUUGUGAGACACGUUUUCUCAGACGCGAAUUAGGACCAGCGGAGAUUGAAAUAGAGAUCGUGGUAUCGUCUGUUUUCCGAUCGGGACGCUAUUGUUUGGGAAGCUUCGUGACGUCUAGGGCUAGCGUUUCACCAGAGCGAUUUAAUAGUUAACGGUUAGUUUGUAUUUUAGGGUUUCGUAUUUGAGGUUGUCUGUUUCUGUUUUUCAUGUCCAGUUUGCUUCAAGGUUGCUUUUGGUUGUGACUUGUUGUAGGACGGUUCUGGACUGUUUCAGACGCAAGGAGAGUCUCUCCUGGGUUUAGU